rnacentral:lncRNA from 1 species
CUGGGAUUACAGGUGCACACCACCACGCCCAGCUAAUUUUUGUAGUUUUAGUAGAGAUGGGGUUUCACCUUGUUGGUCAGGCUGGGCUUGAACUCCUGACCUCAGGUGAUCCACCUGCCUUGGCCUCCCAAAGUGCUGUCAUUACAGGCCUGACCCACCAUGCCCAGCCUUAAAUAUUAUUUUUUAAAAAGUAUGGCUUCCCUAGGCACACUGCUUUUAGAGUACCCCUGCUCCACAAGGAGCAGUUAAAAAAUGUGUGUAUACAUUAACAUAUGUAUGUGUAUGUGUAUACAUGUGAUAUAUAUUCCAAACCAUACAUGCACCCUUAACAUUUUUACAUAAAUAGUAUUGUGUCUAUUUGCUUGUGUUCCUGUACAAGAAUGUAAGAUAUGUGAAGCAGAGACUUUAUCUUGCUUUGUCUGUUUUCUGCUGUACUGCUAGCUCCUAGAACAGCUCCUGACACAUGGUAAGCACCCAAGUAUUUGUUGAAUAAGUAAAUAUCAAUCCGUAACUUGCUUUUUAAAUUUGAUAUUGUGUCUCUAAGAUCUAUCUGCGUGUGUGUGUGUGUGUAUAUAUAUAUAUGUUCAUUCUCAUCAAGUUCAUUACUUUAUGCUGCUUUAUAUUAUAAAUAAACUAUGUUCUAUUUGUUCAUUCACCUAUUAGAGGAUAUUUACAUUAUUUUCACUCCUUUGCUAUCAUAAACCCUUACAUGCAAAUUUGCAAAUUUUUUCAGGCCCAUGCAGAAUCAUUUCUCUAGAGUAUAUAUGCCCCAGAAGGUGAAUGUUGAGCAAUGAAGGGUGAUAUUUUAAAUUUCACUGGUUGCUUGUCAUAUUACUCUCAAAAGUGGCCAUAGCUAAUUAUACUCUCAGUAGCAGUGGAUGAAGGCUUCAUGUUUCUUACACCCUUGCCAGAACUUUAUACUGUGAGAUUUUAAAAUUUGUUUGCCAAUCUCAUGGGUGAAACAUGGUGUCUCUUUUUAUUUAAAUUUUUAUUCAGGCUGGGCGCAGUGGCUCAUGCCUGUAAUCCCACCACUUUGGGAGGCCAAAGCGAGUGGAUCACGAAGUCAGGAGAUUGAGACCAUCCUGGCCAACGUGGCGAAACCCCAUCUCUACUAAAAAUACAAAAAAUUAGCUGGGCAUGGUGGGGAGCACCUGUAGUCCCAGCUACUCAGGAGGCUGAGGCAGGAGAAUCGCUUGAACCUGGGAGCGGAGGUUGCAGUGAGCCAAGAUUGUGCCACUGCACUCCACCCUGAGCGAGACUCUGUCUCAAAAAAAAAAAAAAAAAAUUUUAUUCAGAUAACUGUAGAUUUCAUAUGUAGUCGAAAGAAAUAAUACGGAGAACUUGCAUACCGUUAACCCAGAUCCUACUGAUGAUAAUACUUUGCAAAAGUAUAGUCACAACCAGAAUAUCAAAAUUGGCACAGUCCACCAAUUUUGUACAAGUUUCCCUAGUUUUACUCAGACUCAUUUUAUGUGUGUGUGAAUGCAUUUAAUUAUAUAUAAUUUUAUGUCAUAUGUAGGUCCAUGUAUCCACCUCCACACUCAAGAUACAGAACAGUUAAAACACAAGGAUCUUCCUGUCGUGCAAAAUCUCAGCUCACUGCAACCUCCACCUGCUGGGUUCAAGCAAUUCUUGUGCCUCAGCCUCCCAAGUAGCUGGGACUACAGGGAUGCAUCACCACACCUGGCUAAUUUUUGUAUUUUUAGUAAAGACGGGGUUUUACCAUGUUGGCCAGGCUGGUCUGGAACUCCUGGCCUCAAGUGAUCAGCCUGCCUCGACCUCCCAAAGUACUGGGAUUACUGGUGUGAGCCACUGCACCUGGCCUCCCCCUUCUUUUUAACCUCUGUUCUUCAUUUGCAAGAUUUUAUCCUUUCAGGCUGGGCAAGGUGGCUCAUGCCUGUAAUCCUAGCACUUUGGGAGGCUAAGGCAGGCAGAUCACUUGAGGUCAGGAGUUCGAAACCAGCCUGGCCAACAUGGUGAAACCGCGUCUCUACUAAAAAAAAAAAAAAAAAGAAAUACAAAAAAUUAGACCAGGCGCGGUGGCUCACGCCUAUAAUCCCAGCACUUUGGGAGGCCAAGGCAGGCAGAUCACGAGGUCAGGAGUUCGAGACCAGCCUGGCCAAUGUGGUGAAACCCCGUCUCAACUAAAAAUACAAAAAUUAGCCAGGUGCAGUGGCGCGUGCCUGUAGUCCCAGAUACUAGGGAGGCUGAGGCAGGAGAAUUGCUUGAACCCAGGAGGUAGAGGUUACAGUGAGCCGAGAUUGCACCACUGCACUCCAGCCUGGAUGACAGGGAGAGACUCCAUCUAAAAAAAAUUAGCCAGGCGUGGUGGUGGGCACCUGUAAUCCCAGCUACUUGGGAUGCUGAGGCAGGAGAAUCGCUUGAACCCAGGAGGCAGAGGUUUCAGUGAGCUGAUAUCGCACCACUGCACCCCUGCCUGGGUGAUAGAGCAAGACUUCAUCUCAAAAAAAAAAAAAAAAAGAUUUUAUCCUUUCAAAAAUGUUGUAUUCAAUAUUGUGUGUGGAAACUUAAAAAGAAAAAAAAUAAAAAUUAAACAAAAUGUUGUAUAAAAGGAACCAUGUAGUAUGUAACCGUUAGAGAUUGGCUUUUUUCACUCAGCAUAUUCAGCACCAAGUUGUUGCAUGUAUCAGUAAUCCAAGGCCGGGCACAGUGGCUCACACCUUUAAUCCUAGCACUUUGGGAGGCCGAGGCAGGCGGAUCACUGAGGCCAGGAGUUUGAGACUAGCCUGGACAACAUGGUGAAACCCUGUCUCUACUAAAAAUACAAGAAGUAGGCCGGGCGCGGUGGCUCACGCCUAUAAUCCCAGCACUUUGGGAGGCAGAGGCAGGUGGAUUACAGGGUCAGGAGUUCAAGACCAGGCUGGCCAAGAUGGUGAAACCCCCGUCUCUACUAAAAAUAUAAAAAUUAGCCGGGCGUGGUGGCACACUCCUAUAAUCCCAGCUACUUGGGAAGCUAAGGCAAAGAACUGCUUAAACCUGGGAGGCGGAGGUUUCAGUGAGCUGAGAUUGCACUACUGCACUCCAGCCUGGGUGACAGAGCGAGACUCCAUCUCAAAAAAUAUAUAUAUACAAAAAUUAGCUGGACGUGAUGGUGCAUGCCUAUAGUCACAGCUACUUGGAAGGCUGAGGCAGGCACAUUGCUUGAACCUAGGAGGCAGAGGUUGCAGUGAGCCAAGACUGCACCAGUGCACUCUAGCCUGGGUGAUAGAACGAGACUCCAUCUCAAAAAAAAAACCAAGAAAAACAAAAAAAAAUCCCUUUUAUUGUUGGUAUUCUAUGGUAUGGAUGGACCACAGUCUGUUCAACCAUCACUCAUUGAAGGACCUAUGUUUAUUUCCAAGUUUAGGCUAUUACAAAUAAAGCUGCUGUUAACAUUUAUGUAUAGGUUUUUUGUGCGAACAUUAAUUUCCAUUUGGUGUCUCAUUUUUUUCAAUUAGCGUUUCCCAGAUUACCAGUGGGGUUGAAUAUCUCUUCAUAUAUUUGUAGACUAUUCAGGUUUCCUCUUUGCUAUUUUGCUUAUUUCUUCUGUUGGGUUGUCUUUUUCUUACUACUUUGUAAGGGUUCUUUUUUUUUUAAGACGGAGUUUUGUGCAAUCUCGGCUCACUGCAACCUCCGCCUCCCGGGUUCAAGCGAUUCUCCUGCCUCAGCCUCCUGAGUAUCUGGGAUUACAGGCAUGCACUACCAUGCCCGGCUAAUUUUGUAUUUUUAGUGGAGACGGGGUUUCUCUAUGUUGGUCAGGCUGGUCUUGAACUCCUGACCUGAGGUGAUCCACCUGCCUCAGCCUCCCAAAGUGUUGGGAUUACAGGCAUGAGCCACCGCGCCCAGCCUAAAAGUUCUUUAUAUGUUCUGCAUAGCAAUCUUUUGUCAGUUAUGUGAAACUUUGUGUUGACAUUUUGGUGGUCAUUGUUUCUCAACGUGCUGUAAAGUUUAGGAAUAGAUGAAUGAUUUCUGAAACUUGAAUUUGGAUCACUGAUGAAGUGACCAAGGGGUUUCAUUUGGGGCUGCCCACCUUGUGGAGCUUUGGGCCUGCUGCACCUUACAUGUAGCAGUGUUUUCUUUGCAUCCUUGCAUGCCAGCGAUACACUUUAAUUGGUGGCACGUUAGGUUCUAGGCACACCAUAUCAAAACAUCUACCUGCUUGAGGGCAGAUGUCAUGAGCACAGAUCCUUUGCCUCGUUUUUUUGGAACAUUCAGAUACAUUUAUUGCAUUGUAAAACCAGCCGUGUUUUCUGGCAUUUUGACCAGCCCUCGGAAACUGCUGACAUCAUGAUGUACUCCUUGCCUGGUGUUUCCAUUUUCCCCAGCACUGCAGCUAGAAUUUAGAAUCCUGACUCACCCUUCAGCCAGCCACAGAGCAUGCUGAUUAUUCUGGUACAGUCAGUGCUCACGAAGUGACUUUGCAAGGGGAAAUAGCUUUUGGACAAGUCAAAGCCAGUGCAAUUUCAGAUAAUAGCCCAGCUUUUCUUUUCUAACGUUCUCAUCUGCUCAGAUGCUGCUGCUUUCUCCCCUGAUGGGAAGUGGAAGCCAUGAUUCUGCAGUCCUGGCCAUAAAGCUGUGAAUUGUACUAGCUGGCACAGCCAGUACUGCCCUACUGAGUUCAGUGAACUGUCCUUCUGAUCUACACUGAGAGAGCCUGGCUGUGGUGCAAUGCUCACAGUGAAGCCGUCUGCAUAGCUGAGCUAACAAUUCAAACUUCAGCUCUCAUUUCAAUAAAUUACCUUAUAAAACACUCACUGACCAAGAUUACCUUGAGUAGCUUAUUUAUAUGAAUUUUGCAGUUACCCCAAAUUAGCCAUGGAGAAACUGAUAUACAAUGUUUCUUAUAAUUUCCCCUCAAACCAUAGCAAAAACAUGAAGGGAAGUACUAGGAUUUCUGGGAAUAUGGAAUUUAUAUCUAUGCCCCACAAACAAUGUUAAAGAAAACGGGCUUUGGAUAUUUUCAAAGGCCUGUGGUGAGGAUUAAAUAAGGCAUAAUAUAUGAAAAUGUUUUGUGAAUUCCAAAAUGUUUUACCAAGAUAAAAGAUUUUUAAAAUCAGUUUCUGUCAGUUUCAUACAUCCAAUCCUGAAAUCAAGUCUACACUGAUUUAUUACAUAUAAGGAAAUAUUUUUGACGUGAAUAGGCAAUCAUAGAAUUUCUAUUGUAUUCGAAUAAUGAUUGAAAGUAAUUUUCUUUUUGAGAUUUUGACUUCCCCAUUUGAGGUAAUAUUCUCAAGGGACUAAAUGUUACUGAUGUUGAAGAUUUAUCCCAAAUGAGGUUUGCUUUGGGUGACAGAAUUCAAAGCUAGCUCUGAACAAAACUGAAAUGGUGGCUAAUACGAUCCUUUCUGUGCCUCCCUUUUCUUUCCUUUUGGAUACUUCAAAUACACAGCUAGUUUCCUUGGGACAUCCUAGGGCAGUCAGGGUCAUUUCCUUCUCUCUCCAAGACUGACCUGCCACAAUCCAUCAGGGACUAUGAUUUUGUUGUAAAUAUUUAGAAAGAUGGUGCACAACAAUAGAUUUGGCAAAAACUGAGCUGAUGGCAUGCAAGUGUAGCCAAGUGUGGGAAUCCAUACUUGGAAUAAUCUAAAGGAAUGUUUAACGGUGGUAAAAGAGAAGUGCAGGAGAUGGGGCAGCAUUUUCAGGGCCUCUCACCUAAUGAAAUAUUGGCAUCUUACAGGCUUGAGGGUCACUUGUCUGAUGAUUUGUGUGCUAAUUCUGUUGGAAGAGAAGAUUCUCAAGAAAUACACUAUUGCCAUUAAAAGUAAAACACAAGAUUGUUUCCUCCCUUGAAUAUAGCAAGAACUCUGUAGAGUAAUCAAUGCUUUGGCCAGAUAUCCUUGAGAAUUAAUGUUUUUUAGAUUGCAGGGAGAAGAAAAGAGGACAGAAACAAGUUUCUGUUUCAUAUUCCUUCUGUGUGGUGUUAGAGCAGAAGAACCCUAGGGAGUGCAGGGCUGGGGCCUGGGACAUGUGAAUGUCUGCACAUUGGCAGUUCAGCAAGCUUUUCCUGUUGGCCUGCUAUUCCCAGGAGACUGUCUAUAGGGCUGCUUGGCAGCAGGUGAGGAAGGUGUGUAUGUCUGAAAAAUUCAGGAUAGACAGACAACAUCCCAAGUUUUGAACAACAAUCCAACUGUGUGUGUGUGUGUGUGUAUGCACCCGCAUGUUCACAGCUGCACACAGCACCUUGCACUUCCUUUAUUAAUAGAAAACUGGAAGAAUGAU